CAAAUUAGAGCUUAGGUUUAAGUAUUUCAUUUACAUUGAAAAGAUAUUAUUUGAUUAAUUAAUUUGG
rnacentral:tRNA from 1 species